ACAGUGGGUGAAAAAAGCGGAAGGGGCUUGGGGAAAGUGGGGCUCUAUCUCACCCGGAGGCCGGGGACAGAUCUCCGCUCCCUUACUUGGCCCUGCUUGCUGCGGACGCAAGGCGCCCAACGCCGCGGCUCACUCACCUGGAGCACUGAUGCGGGGUCACACCGCCGCGCGCGGGUGGGAGCGGACGCGGCUUCGGUCCCAGGCGCGGCCCUGCACCCUGCCCUCUGGUUGGGUGAGAGGGGACCGUUGCGCCGAAGAACCAGACCUUAGCCCUUUUGCGCCAGCUGACUCACCCCUCCACCAGGAAUGUCUUUAAGCUCCUGGCUGGCUAUCACUUUACCUGGAGAUUUUUGAAAUGAAGAGUGAAAUAGGAAAAAAAAUUGCAGCCAAUCAAUAACUCCACAGUCACCCUUUUAAUAUUCAGCUCCCUACACCAGCAAAGAACGGCAAGGAACUUUGCAGCUCUCGCUGACGUAACACGGGCAGUAGCCCCUGCUAGUACCGUAAUCUCCUGCUGUUACCGUAUUGCUCUGCAGCAACAAGCGUGAGUAUAUUGCUGUUUAACACAGUAAGUCCAUGUUACAAAGAAGAAACACCAAACUGUUUUCCACAAUGGCUCACCACUUUACAAUGCCAUCAGAAAUGUAAAAGGUACCAGUUUCUCCACAUCUUGAUCAUCAUCCUAGUGGGUUACAAAUGGUAUCUCAUUGUGGUUUUGAUUUGCAUUUUCCUGAUGCCCAGUGAUGUUGAGCACCUUUUCAUGUGUUUAUCAGCCAUUUGAAUACCUUCUUUGGAGCAAUGUCUAUUCAAGUCAUUUGCCCAUUUUUAAAUUGGGUUAUUUGUCUUUUUGUUGUCAAGUUGUAGGAAUUCUUUAUAUUUUUUGGACAUUAAACCCUUCUCAGAUAUAUGGUUGGCAAUUAUUUUCUCCCAUUCUGUUUUCACUUUUUAGUUAAUGUCCCUUGUUGUACGAAAGUUUUAAAUUUUGAUGCAGUCAAUUUUAUCUAUUUUUUCUUUUGUUGUUUGUGCUUUUAGUGUAAUAUCCAAGAAAUCACUACCAAAAUUUCUUCCCUAUGUUUUCUUCUAAGAGUUUUUUGGUUUUAGUUCUUAUAUUUGGCUGCUCGACCCAUUUAAAGUUAAUUUUUGUAUAUAGUGUGAAGUAGGAGUCCAACAUCAUUCUUUUGCGAGCAGAAUCUUGUUUUCCCAGCACCAUUUGUUGAAAAUACCAUUUUCCCCCAAUUAAUGCAUUUGGCACCAUCUCAAAAAUCAUUUGCCUACAGUUCUACCACUUUUAAGUUGCAUUUUUCUUGGUUUGUCCCUCACCCAAUUACUUCAACCCUUGAACUCUGAGAAUGGUGAUUCUGCUAGUUUUUGCAUGCUUUUCAAAAAUUCUGCAGGGGGAUGGAACUCUGGAGCAUUUCAUUCUGCCACCAUAAUGAUACCACCAUUUAUGUGUAUUUUUGAGCAUUUAAUAAAUGGAACCAUGUAAUAUACAUUAA